UACAGAGGUCUCAAGCGUUGUUCGGAUUCAUUGGGCGUAAAGGGUGCGUAGGCGGCGCGGUAAGUCGGGUGUGAAAUCUUGGAGCUUAACUCCGAAACUGCAUUCGAUACUGCCGUGCUUGAGGACUGGAGAGGAGACUGGAAUUUACGGUGUAGCGGUGAAAUGCGUAGAUAUCGUAAGGAAGACCAGUGGCGAAGGCGGGUCUCUGGACAGUUCCUGACGCUGAGGAGCGAAAGCUAGGGGAGCAAACGGG
rnacentral:rRNA from 1 species